rnacentral:misc_RNA from 1 species
AAGUCGUAACAAGGUAUCCGUAGGUGAACCUGCGGAUGGAUCAUUACUGAUUUCGUCUCUCUACGUACUGUGAACCGUCUUGAAAGACACUGGCUAGCCAGUUGUCAACUAAACGUAACCUUCAAACUAAAGUCAAAAGAGUUGAACUAUACAUACAACUUUUAGCAAUGGAUCUCUUGGCUCUC